GGGGGAGGAGAGUAGGGGAUGGGAGUGGCAUCUCCUCUUUCUUUUCAGGGAGUAGGGGAGAGCCGUGCUGGUGGCAAACAGAAGUUCCAGGGCCAGGGAUCAAACCCCCGCCACAGCAGGGACAAUGCCAAUCUUUAACCUGACGAGCCACCAGGGAAUUCCCAGAGGCUCCUCUAAAGUCCUGUUGGGUCAUCUGAAAAAGAAUGCAGUUAAGGACGGCAGCGUUCAGGGUCACUCUUUGGUUUCUAAGAUUUAAUUUUCUCAAAUUGUUCAACAGCACACAGAUCUCUCAAUAUGUAAGGUCUGGUGAGAAAUAGGGUUCCAUGGGUCCCUCUGUUUGGGAAACAUCGUGUUGAAUGGUGUUAAGGAAGGUUAUCAGCCACUUUACUAUCCUACUGUCAUUUGUGAAGCUCUUUGAGACAAAGUAUUGGAUUCCCAACUCAUUUACGAGGGAAACAUGAGUGUGUGUGUGUGUGUGUGUGUGUGUGUGUGUGUGUAGUACCUAUUAAAAUAAAGCAAAGCUCGAUUUGUGUAGAGCUCAGUUUGGGAAUGAAGAACAAAGGGUCAACAAUAAUACAUUGAACCAGAGAGUUGGUCAAAAUUAAGCUAUUAAAAUGAAUUUCAUGAUGUAUGUUCCAUUUUUUUUUCUUAUAGUCACAGAAAAUAGAACAUUAACGACGUCUGCUGUGUUGUAUCUCCAAGCAGGGAAACAAGGCUCUGUGGGGGACAGGGCAGUGAAAAGGACCUUUCACAGAGAUUACUCAUAAGAAACAAGGCUAAGUCUCCCCAGAGGAAAACUACAAGGGUCCUACCGCCGGGGUAGUGACGAGCACAUGCACGCGUGAGUCUGGUUGCUCUCAUCUUUGAAUUCUCUGCUGAAAUAGCACGUCCUCACAGGGAACUUGCCCAACCACCCUCUUCAAAGCAGAAGCCCCAGGUUCAUUUCUGACCUAGCAUCCCAUUUAUUUUCUUCAGAACAUGUGCUAUAAUAUGUAAAUAGCUUCUUUAUUGUUCACUGUUAAAUUUUUCUAUCUAGAAUGAAAUGUGUUUAUUGCAGGAAAAUGGAAUCUUGUAAGAACGGUUUGUCCAGAUCACUUCGGGAUCCCCAGCACCUGGCACGUGGUGGCACCCACUAGCUUCUCAAUGAAAGCUUGUUCAAUAAAUGAAUGACCCCCACUAUUGGUGAGAGUGUC
rnacentral:lncRNA from 1 species